rnacentral:rRNA from 1 species
UACGUAGGGAGCAAGCGUUGUCCGGAAUCAUUGGGCGUAAAGCGCGCGUAGGUGGCUUCGUAAGUCCGUUGUGAAAGUCAAAGGCUCAACCUUUGAAUGCCGAUGGAUACUGCGGAGCUAGAGUACGGAAGAGGCGAGUGGAAUCCCUGGUGUAGCGGUGGAAUGCGCAGAUAUCAGGAGGAACACCAAUAGCGAAGGCAGCUCGCUGGGACGUUACUGACCCUAAGGCGCGAAAGCGUGGGGAGCGUACAGG